AGCAGUCGCCGCGGUAAUACAGAGGGUGCAAGCGUUAAUCGGAAUUACUGGGCGUAAAGCGCGCGUAGGUGGUUUGUUAAGUUGGAUGUGAAAUCCCCGGGCUCAACCUGGGAACUGCAUUCAAAACUGACUGACUAGAGUAUGGUAGAGGGUGGUGGAAUUUCCUGUGUAGCGGUGAAAUGCGUAGAUAUAGGAAGGAACACCAGUGGCGAAGGCGACCACCUGGACUAAUACUGUCACUGAGGUGCGAAAGCGUGGGGAGCAAACAGGAUUAGAUACCCGUGUAGUCCCUGUCUCUUAUAC
rnacentral:rRNA from 1 species